AUGAUGACACAGGUGAGGCUAAUUAACUGAACACCUGCAACUUGAUUGGCCUUUCGAAUGUUGUCGUCGUAAUUGACAGACGUUUUCAUUUUUCCGUCUUUAGAAGAAAGUAACUGCGGUGACCAUAAACAACGCGGAUAACCUUAUGCAGCACAUACUUUAAAGUCUAGCUUUUGAAGAAAAACUUGAAAUGAAACACUAUAGGCUCACCAGCCGCGAGAUAGGCUAUUGUUAUAAACAAAACUGCUUGUAAAAAUGUGUCCUCCAGUGAAGCCAUGGCUAACUGCUAGCCUGCUAGCUCGAAGACACUUUGAUUCGUUUGGAUUAUUCGGAAGAAAAGAAGGCUUUCAGGAUUAAGCACCUUCUUGACAGGAUUUCCAAACAGGAAAGCUGACAGACAACGCACAUUGAACGGGGAAUUGAGCUGCAAGUGAAGGAAAACAGCAGGCUUUGUACUCCUUGCUGCAGAGAAGAACAUGUUAUUUUUUGUACCGACCUUCAGUCACACCGCUGCCUGGCAUAGCUGAGGCAAUGUGAGGGGAACUCGCAUCUUCAAAGAAAUAAAGCUGGAUUAUUGUUCCGUUCCUAAAGAUGAUGAAAGAUGUCUUCCAUCCAUGUUUAAAGAGUGCUAUGUGAUGAAACUGCAGUAUGAAAUCUCGUAAAGUAUGAGUGUUUUGAGAAUAUUUCCCCAUCUAAAUAUGAUUAAAGUGCUUCAUCCUU